ensembl:lncRNA
CCUUUUUUUAUACAGAGACCCGUUACGAACAGACCCGAGGACAACUAGACCUGGUCGGAUCCAGCCCUGGUCCAAUCCGAGUUAGAGAUGCAGCAGAAAAGUUUUGUUUUUUCACCUUCCGACAGGACAACGACCCGAAGCACACAGCCAAGACAACGCAGGAGUGGCCCAGCCAGAAUCCGGACUUGAAUCCAAUCAAAAAUCUCUGGGGAGACCUGAAAAUAUCUAUGCAGUGACGCUCCCAUCAAACCUGACAGAGCUUGAGAGGAUCUGCAGAGGAGAAUGGGAAAAAGUCCCCAAAUACAGUUACGGCCUACCAGGGAACAGUGGGUUAACUGCCUUGUUCAGGAGCAGGACGACAGAUUUUUACCUUGUCAACUAAGGGGAUUCAAUCCAGUAACCUUUCGGUUACAGGCCCAACACUUUAACCACCUAGGCUACCUGCCUCCCCAAAAUUGUAUCGUAAUACCCAAGAAGACUCAAGACGGUAACCGCUGCCAAUGGUGCUUCAACAAUGUACUGAGUAAUGGUUCUGAAUACUAAUGUAAAUGUGAUAUUUAAGAUUUUUUAAAACCUGUUUUUGCUUUGUCAUUAUGGGGUAUUGUGCGUAGAUUGAUUAGAAAAACAUAUAUGUUUAAUCAAUUUUAGAAUAAGUGUCACGCCCUGGUUUUAGUAUUUUGUGUUUUCUUUAUUUAAUUGGUCAGGCCAGGGUGUGACAUGGGUUUAUUUUGUGGUGUGUUUGUGUAUUGGGGUUUUUCGUAGGUUUUGGGAUUAUGGUUUAGUGGGGUGUUCUAGCAAAGUCUAUGGUUGCCUGAGGCGGUUCUCAAUCAGAGGCAGGUAAUUCUCGUUGUCUCUGAUUGGGAACCAUAUUUAGGCAGCCAUAUUCUUUGAGUGUUUCGUGGGUGAUUGUUCCUGUCGCAGUGUUUUGUAUUUCACCAAAUAGGCUGUAUAGGUUUUCACGGUCCGUUUGUUGUUUUGUAUUGUUUGUGUUCAUCUUCAUUAAAGAUGUAUAUUAUUAACCA